UGAUGCACAGGAACAGUCCGUGUGUUGGAGGUGGGUCUGCCUGCGGUCAUUCUGGAACAUUCUUCCUCCUGCCCUGUGUCUGGGCAGAAGGAGGACUCCUGAAGCCUCCGAAGGAAGGAAAUCAUUACAGGGCCCUACAGAAGUAGGUCAUGUGCUACAGCUGCUCAUAGUUUACGAGGAAGAAACAUGGGACCUCAAACCUGGAACACGACUCUUUCAAAAUGCUUGUGAGCAGCCCAAGAAAAACAUCCUCCCGAGGCUUAUCUAAUAACCAUGAUCUGUAAUCGUCUCAAUGUGUGCUCGUGUUUCCUUAGGAGUUUGCACCUACUUCCCAGAGCUAGCGAGAUGCUGAAACAGAACACAGAAAAAUGUAAUGAAGGGGAUUUAAUAGUUUGUGUUAAAGCUAAUAUGGGCCAUUAGAAGCUGUCAUUUUUAUAAACAAUGAAGAUAUGUUACCCUCUUCUUUGGUGUAAAGUUAUUCCAUGCAGGACCUGUAAACAUUCAGUAAUGAUCUGUAGAACACGCAUGAAUGACAAUUAAAGCACUGCUUGAAAGUC